rnacentral:lncRNA from 1 species
GGUGGUCUUCCAGGAGUCACUGAAAAUUUCAAGAAGUGAAAAUCCAACAGAAAAUAUUUGAACCCAGGAAUAAAAUAGAAGCCUGGAAGACUGAAGGAUAUUCACCACAGGUGAAAUCCCUCUCAGCAGCUGGCUUAUGAAAUAAUGUGAAGGGAGGCCUUAAUGAGCAGAACGCACCCUCAGCUGGAGAUAAAUAUAUGCAAAUGAGAUGCACAAACAAAGAAGCCUGGACAGAGAAAUAUCUGCAAUUCCAGCAAAAUGCUGCCUGCAGCUCGAAGAUGAACAGCUUUGAUAAAAUGUGAGAAAUAUUACCACGCGUGCUGAUGCCUCAGACACACCAAUCUGCAACAAGCAACUAGGAUAAAAAAUAGUUAAAAGUGAAUCAACAUUUAUCUGGAAUAUACAGUCCUGACCCCCUUACGCACUCCCCCCCACCCCCCUCCCCGCAACACACAAAGUCAUUUGUCUUCUAUGUCCUGUGAUGUUUUGAGGAUUCUGGCAAAUAUGGCAGUUAAACAAACUUCUAGCACAAUCUAAAUACAGUCUGUUCAAGAGAGGCUUCCAAUGUUUAUAGACCAUAAGUAAAGAAAAAAAAAAUCUGGUAUUUAACCAAGAAUAGUGCUCUUGAAAAUGUCUCAGAACAAAGUGUUUAAGCAAAACUUUGGCCAUAGAUAUUCUCCAUUCCUCAUUCUUUGCUGAUUUUUUUUUCAAUGAGGACUUUUUAUAUGCCAUCAGUUUGCUUCUUCUUCUUCUUCUUCUUUUUUUUUUUUUUUUUGAAAUUAACAAACUAAUUUUAAAAAUCAACACCUGACUGGGGACCUGGUCAUACAAACUUCCUUUAGAUACAGUUGAGAAGAAAACAUCACAUUUUUAUGAAGCCCCUCUCCUGACAGGGGACUGGAGGAGGAACACCAUUAUGCAUUGUUAUCAGCGUGGUGUAAUUUGACUGUUGACAAAGUAUCCGUGGCAGUGCGAAUGAGCGCAGUUAGAAGUGUGGCGGAUUGUAAUCAAGAAGAUGCUUAGCUGUGCAACACUGCAUCUCGAGCAGAUUUGAAUCAACAUUGCCUUAAGGGGACACACACACAUACCAAAAGAAAAAAAA